rnacentral:misc_RNA from 1 species
AUGUGAUUGUACAUAUGCAAUCAACAGAUUGAUUGUAAUUCACAUACCCUAUUAGUUUCCUGCUCUGAAAAUUAGUGAGUUGUUAUACAGAUGCACAAAUGCAAAAUUAAAUAUUAAUCUUUACGAAGUUUGAAUAAGAUUAUACAGGAAUUAAUUAGAAAGCAGUCCUCCAUAAAAAGGAAUGUCAGUGUCCGGCAACCAAGUAUCUCCCAUUGUGAAAUUAUGAACUGUAAAAUUCACAGCUUGUGAAACAUUCAUCAGAUUAUAACCUGGCCACUUCACUCGCAUAGUUGUAUUAGCUCCAGGCCCAUAAUUCUUGAACUCCCCAUAAAAUAGUGUGUCUAAUCCAGUAGUCCCAUUCCAUUCAAGCCAUCCAUCGGGAGCAAUUAGAUUGCCGAUGUACGAUUGCAUAUAGACAGUUCUCGAGUACUCCUUCCAAGGUCGACCCAGAUAAUUUAAGGUUGAGUUCAAGUCCAUUGCCAAAUCUGGUGCAGCUUCAAUGGUGCAAUUGUGUAUGGAGAUACCUGUAUUUUGAUUAGCAUCAGUGCGGCCUUGGGCUGUGAAGGCAUUCUUCUGGUUAGGCAAUGGUUUGCGAGCGUACAAAUUGCAACUCUGGAAGACAGCAGCAGAAUUGCCAAAAAUUAAAUCCACAGUUCCAUAUAUGUCGCAUUCCCUGUAGAAUUGUCUCAUGGAGUGGACAUAAAGAGUAUCUUGAUAGCCUUCGAAACUGCAACGAUAAAAUGUGGACAAAUCUGCAUUAUUCCUCACUGCUACUGCUUGGUGCUUUUCCGGACCAGCUGUAUUCCUGAAUGUGAUGUCUACGGCAAUAAAUCGCUCCCCAGAAACAGCGAAGGUUGAGGAAUUAAAAGUUGUCCAGCCAUCCACCACACUAUGGUUUCCUGUGAUGAUAGUUCGAUUAAUUCCAUCUCCAACGAGCAAUAUGUUGUUCUUAUGUUUGGGCACAAUGACAUAUUCUUGGUAGUAUCCUUCUCUUGCAUAGAUUACAAAAUAGCCAUCUUCAGGCUUCGAAUUAUUUGGAGCAAUAGCUACGGCAUCUCCAAUGGAUGUGAAGCUGCCCUCGCCAUAAGGGCUGAUGAUUACUGUGUCGUUUAUGAGAAUCCCAUUGGCCUCCAAAUCAGCAAGAUUGCGUCCUCCACUGGAGCUUUUAGUUUUGCGUAAAGCCUUGAUCAGAGCUUCGAGAGGUUCAUGGAGUCCUCUGUUUGAGAAAACCCUUUGUUCAUGACCACCCUUUUUAUUCUUCUUUUUUUUCUUCAGUGCAUUCGUGACAAGCCCAAGAGAAACGCUGUACAACUUCGUAACAUUGGAAAGAGGACUGUACAAUGAACUCACAAUGCUACUCUUGGACUCCACCAAUUCAUCAAAACAAGUGUGCUGGUUCGUCAAUAUUCCACUCAGAAAACUAUUCACUCUUUCUACCAUCUCAUCCUUCAACACCUCCGCCGAUUUAAACUCUGUCGAUAACGUCUCCAAGUAGUCCACAUUCAGAUCGGUCAGCUCGCGGCAAUCUUCUAAAGCCCCAAUCUCCUCGUGGCUCAGUUUUGAGAGUUGCUUACUGUGGGUCAAGUGGUGGUUUAUCACUUUGGAUAAUCUUUGUGCUUGUUUUAGGCACUGUUUGACUGAAAACUUGCCAUAGUCGUACGGAUUCGAGGGUAACGAGCCAAAGUUUGAUAAGAUCGAACGGCAGAGCUUGGGAUAGAGGGUGGAUUUGCAAGCUAGGGAAGGUGACUGUGGUGGGGACUGGGAGCAGACUAAUGAAGCUGAAGAGAGUAAAAGGAGACCAAAGCAGAGAAAAAAGAAGGAAAGGUUUUGCAUUUUCGAUUUGGUUUAUUACUUCUACAACAGAUAUACAAUUUUUGUAUUAAGCUUGCGUGAAACUUAGGUGGUUUUGCAUUGUUG